GGACGAGGGAAUUCGAAGAGCUAGGACAAGUGAGAAAGAAAAUGUGAGGGAGAAGAUGAGAGGGUAAGAGCUGGCAUGUAUGUAAUCUUUGGAAGUAAGGAUAUGGAACUUCAGAAGUGGAAGGUCCUCUUUUGUAUAAUUGCUAAGGAUGCUAAUGCUCUUAUCUUUUCAUUUUGUUCCUAUAAGCUUGAGUCAUGGGGAGCAAGAGUGUGGAGCUACUGAGCCUUUUAUGUUCUAUAGGUGUCCAAGGUACAUCAGAUUAUUAGAAUUUGGAAGUGAUAAUGCAAGCUUGUAAUCACAGUUUUUAAUGUAGUUGCUGAACUCCUG